rnacentral:rRNA from 1 species
AACGAACGCUAGCGGCGUGCCUAACACAUGCAAGUCGUACGAGAAAUCCCGGGCAACUGGGAGAGUAAAGUGGCGCACGGGUGAGUAACGCGUGGGUAAUCUACCUUGGAGUUCGGAAUAACACCUCGAAAGGGGUGCUAAUACCGGAUAUCGUCCCAGGGGUUUCGGCUCCGGGGAUGAAAGAUGGCUGAGGCUUGCAAGCUAUUGCCCCAAGAUGAGCCCGCGUACCAUUAGCUAGUUGGUGGGGUAACGGCCCACUAAGGCAAUGAUGGUUAGCUGGUCUGAGAGGAUGACCAGCCACACUGGAACUGAGAUACGGUCCAGACUCCCACGGGAGGCAGCAGUGAGGAAUCUUGCGCAAUGGGGGCAACCCUGACGCAGCAACGCCGCGUGAGUGAUGAAGGCCUUCGGGUCGUAAAGCUCUGUCAGGCGGAAAGAAUGUUUCCAGGGUGAACAAUCCUGGAGAUUGACGGUACCGCCAGAGGAAGCACCGGCUAACUCCGUGCCAGCAGCCGCAGUAAUAC